ACAGGUAAGACAAUUGUUCGUAUCUCGAGCAUGACUGUAUCUUUGUCCUGCAGAACCUCGUAUGGUCUCUCCUCAGUGAAGUUGCCCGAUGCAGUAUUGUUUGAAUUUAUUCAUCUUCAUGUUCCCGGCAGUACAGAUUCUUACUCCAAAUCCCUGUUAGCCCUAUUGUGGGGCAUCUCCAGUAGAGGAUUGUUCGAGCCCUACCAUGGGGCAUUCCCAG
rnacentral:lncRNA from 1 species